GACGUAGGGCGCAAGCGUUGUCCGGAUUUAUUGGGCGUAAAGAGCUCGUAGGCGGCUUGUUGUGUCGUCCGUGAAAACCUGUGGCUCAACUACAGGCUUGCGGUCGAUACGGGCGGGCUGGAGUUCGGUAGGGGAGACUGGAAUUCCUGGUGUAGCGGUGAAAUGCGCAGAUAUCAGGAGGAACACCGGUGGCGAAGGCGGGUCUCUGGGCCGAUACUGACGCUGAGGAGCGAAGGCCAGGGGAGCAAACGGG
rnacentral:rRNA from 1 species